rnacentral:rRNA from 1 species
UCCUACGGGAGGCAGCAGUAGGGAAUUUUCGGCAAUGGGGGGAACCCUGACCGAGCAACGCCGCGUGGGUGAAGAAGGUCUUCGGAUCGUAAAACCCUGUUGUUAGAGAAGAAAGUGCGUGAGAGUAACUGUUCACGUUUCGAUGGUAUCUAACCAGAAAGCCACGGCUAACUACGUGCCAGCAGCCGCGGUAAUACGUAGGUGGCAAGCGUUAUCCGGAUUUAUUGGGCGUAAAGGGAACGCAGGCGGUCUUUUAAGUCUGAUGUGAAAGCCUUCGGCUUAACCGGAGUAGUGCAUUGGACACU